AUGUUCUUGCUGCAGCAGCUUCUGUGCCCUGGGAGUCUCACAAACAUGUGGAGCCUUGUUGAAAAUUUAUUUAAGCAUCACACAGGGCUCCAUUAUACCAGUUCUGUAAUGAAGCUGGGUCUACAGAGAGAAAUCCUAUCCUUGCUGGACUUGAAGGAGCCUCUGGGUGGGCAGCAUCUUCACCUCAGGGCAUACUGGAUCAAAUGUGGGUGUCUCUUCCUAGCCUCAGCCAAUUCCUUUCCAAGAAGUACCUGUGGAAAUGUCACAGAUCAGACUGGAGGAGGCAGUCAAGAUUAGGCAUCUGCAUUGCUACUUUGAGCAUAUGGACUAAUUUGGAAACCAAACUGUUAAGACACAAAACCACUAGUAUUCUGGCUUGUGGAAAUAGUGAUGUAAGCGGAGGGAAACUAAAUUAAACUGUUAUCUCUUUGACACUGACAUAAGAAAUAAGUGAGCUCUGUUAAUUUACUCAUGUCAUGAAUGGCUGUAAUCUUGUCUCUAGUUGGCAUCGUCUCUGCAUAGUUACUGACGUAAAUGUAAUUUUGUGUUUAAUUAUGAUCUUACAGGCAAUCACUGGAAAAAUGUAUAAUAUCAAAUCAAAAUAUCUCUUUUAUCUUUUUUUUCCCCACCAACUGACAAUUUCUUUAUGAAUUUUUAUCUGGUUCUUCCUCUACAUUGAAGAAAUUGAUGUCAUUCUUAAAUUGUCUGUCUGCCUUCUGUGAUGAGAAGUAACCUAGAGAUACCUAUAAUGCUAUCAAAUGAGACUUACCAACUUCAUAUCAUUCUACUGAAAGCAUGUAUUUUGCCACUAAUGCUUUUUACCUACUUAAUGCCAAAAUCCUCUAUUUUAUUAAAAAUUGGUUUCUGUUGUAUCUUGUAUUUUAAUCAAGACCAAUAGGAAAUAUUUUCACUGAUCUUGGAACUGAGAAAAUCAGAUACAGCAGUGGGAAUAUAAGGGGAAAUAGCCUGAAAGUCAUCACUAUUGAAAGUGAAAGCCUAGUUUCCUUAAAUUCUGUGACCCGCUGAAAUUGUAUGAUCCGAGGUGAAUAAACGAGACUCUGCUAUAUAUAUCCUGUGGAAC
rnacentral:lncRNA from 1 species